CGUACACUCCUGCGGGAGGCAGCAGUGGGGAAUAUUGCACAAUGGGCGCAAGCCUGAUGCAGCCAUGCCGCGUGUAUGAAGAAGGCCUUCGGGUUGUAAAGUACUUUCAGCGGGGAGGAAGGCAAUACGGUUAAUAACCGUGUUGAUUGACGUUACCCGCAGAAGAAGCACCGGCUAACUCCGUGCCAGCAGCCGCGGUAAUACGGCGGGUGCAAGCGUUAAUCGGAAUUACUGGGCGUAAAGCGCACGCAGGCGGUCUGUCAAGUCGGAUGUGAAAUCCCCGGGCUCAACCUGGGAACUGCAUUCGAAACUGGCAGGCUUGAGUCUUGUAGAGGGGGGUAGAAUUCCAGGUGUAGCGGUGAAAUGCGUAGAGAUCUGGAGGAAUACCGGUGGCGAAGGCGGCCCCCUGGACAAAGACUGACGCUCAGGUGCGAAAGCGUGGGGAGCAAACAGGAUUAGAUACCCUUGUAGUCCCAU
rnacentral:rRNA from 1 species